rnacentral:rRNA from 1 species
UACGGGGGGGCAAGCGUUGUUCGGAAUUACUGGGCGUAAAGGCUCGUAGGCGCCAACUAAGUCAUACGUGAAAUCCCUCGGCUUAACCGGGGAACUGCGUCUGAUACUGGUAUGGCUUGAGUUCGGGAGAGGGAUGCGGAAUUCCAGGUGUAGCGGUGAAAUGCGCAGAUAUCAGGAGGAACACCGGUGGCGAAGCGGUCUC